rfam:Triticum aestivum genome assembly, contig: Triticum_aestivum_CS42_TGACv1_scaffold_425647_5BS
GGGCGUGGAUGAUGAGAUCACAAGUAAAAAAUACAGUUAUCCCUGUCUUACUUCCUCGGAAGGGUGCUGAGAAUACUUCGAAUCUGACACGAUU